CUUUUCUUUUCUCUUUCCUCUCCUUCAAACUUUGUUAAAGAGGAAUACCAGACGUGUAUAUAUAUAUACACACACGCAUAUUCUGAAUUACGUCUUCAGCGCUCGCUGCGUAAAAUUUCUUUCCUUUAUUAUCAAUUAAACCAAAGAAAUACGCUUUGUACAGCAGUAGUAUUUUCGUUUAUAUUCAAUGAAUGAAAGGUGACUCGCUGACGGUUCUUAUGCAGCACGCUACAGGAUUAAAAAAAGAAAAAAGAAGUUACUUUUAGCCCGAGGAAUAAAAGUUGUGACAACAGUUCCUCGAAGUUAUUACCCAAUGUCUAACUAAAGAUGAUAAUUAACGUACAACGCAAAGAGAGACAGAACAAUGAAUUUCCGCUGAUUUUUUUUUAUAGACUCAGGCUAUUAAUUCUCUUAGAAAUAAGAUAACGAGUUGGGGUUUGUCUGAUCCCCGCGUGUCCUCAGGUGUGUCCUGACAAGUGGCAAGGACACGACGCGUCUCCCACAGCUCCGACAAGACGUUUUUGUGCACCCGCUAAGGUAUGCCCGUACCCCGUGGCAGAGUGGCAUAAAAAUGCUCUAAAGAAUAAAAAACGACGAGGAACCUGCAUUCUUUUUCCUGUACUCUCCUUUUUCUUUGCCAUUUCUAAUCCUCACUCACCAGAUUCUGUAUCGUAAACGUUUCCCUUUUACGAGUUAAUAGAUAUAAACAUUGCAUAUGUGUAAAGGUAUCCAGUCGAUGUUUCGGAUGAACGUUUUUUUUUUUUUUUUUCUUUUAGGAAAGGAAGCACACAAAGGCAGGCAAAACGAGAAGGAUAAAUUAGAAGGGUACACGCAAGACCUCCUGCAGGACAGUUUGGCAUGCAUCAGUGCGCUGGCGCAGGAACAGGCAAUCACGUACGACUAUAUAAACACGUCAUUAAUGCCGAAACUCGGACGAGCCUCAUAACUGAUAACCGUUAUGUAGAUGUAAUUAGUCCCAUACAACGCGAUAAUAACGGCUCAUUCUGCAAGAACCGUAUCGAGCUAGUUUCCACUUCUAACACUGUUCGCUGUGUGCUGCGUUUCUUGGAAGUUGACGACCUGCAUUGUUUAUUGUAGUCUCUUUUGAAUAUUUAGUCACGAUUCUGGUAUAUAGAAUUACUAGCCAGCUGUCGAUUGAUAUCUCUUGAUUUACGUAGAAAAUAUAUAGACUAUAUAUAUAUAUACAUUAAAAAAAAACACAUAAGAGUUACAAAAUAUAGAAAAAUAUACACAUCGUUACAUACUUACCUGCCGAAAACCUCUAAUUAUCUCCUAGAUAAUGGCACAAAAUGUUGGUGUUUGCUAACAUUCUGCUUAAUUUCGGCACAAGUCGCAAGUGUUCUGACAUUCUGCUUAAUUUUUCGGGCACAAGUCGCGAGUGUUCUGACAUUCUGCUUAAUUUUUCGGGCACAAGUCGCGAGUGUUCUGCCAUUCUGCUUAAUUUUUCGGGCAUAAGUUCGGUUUAUUAUUACGAACUGUAUUCCUCGAAAAGAACGGAUGCUAGAAACAGACUGUCCAUUUUUCUUGCAAAGACAGCAUCUUAAAUGACAAGACACCAUAUGUAAUGGUUUGCAUAUGCUAAGAAAUCCAAUCCCGUAGCGUCGGCGUCGGAAGUGUUUUCAAAAACCUUUCCCCCCUUCUUCGAUAACCCCGUUUUCUUUAUUUUUUGAAGUAGAACGGCUUAUAAGACACUCUCUGUGCUAUUGUUCGAUUCAUUAAUCUGUGGAUCAUUUCUUUUUACCGUCCAGCCUUCGAUCGAUACUUAGAAAAAUAAAACACGCUAGGCAUAAGUUACAAAGCAACCCACGUGUGUGUGUGUGUGUGUGUGUGUGUGUGUGUGUGUGUCCCCUACAAAGGUUAUUAAAAUUAAUGACAUUAACAA
rnacentral:lncRNA from 1 species